rnacentral:rRNA from 1 species
GACGAACGCUGGCGGCGUGCUUAACACAUGCAAGUCGAACGGAAAGGCCCUGCUUUUGUGGGGUGCUCGAGUGGCGAACGGGUGAGUAACACGUGAGUAACCUGCCCUUGACUUUGGGAUAACUUCAGGAAACUGGGGCUAAUACCGGAUAGGAGCUCCUGCUGCAUGGUGGGGGUUGGAAAGUUUCGGCGGUUGGGGAUGGACUCGCGGCUUAUCAGCUUGUUGGUGGGGUAGUGGCUUACCAAGGCUUUGACGGGUAGCCGGCCUGAGAGGGUGACCGGCCACAUUGGGACUGAGAUACGGCCCAGACUCCUACGGGAGGCAGCAGUGGGGAAUAUUGCACAAUGGGCGGAAGCCUGAUGCAGCAACGCCGCGUGCGGGAUGACGGCCUUCGGGUUGUAAACCGCUUUCGCCUGUGACGAAGCGUGAGUGACGGUAAUGGGUAAAGAAGCACCGGCUAACUACGUGCCAGCAGCCGCGGUGAUACGUAGGGUGCGAGCGUUGUCCGGAUUUAUUGGGCGUAAAGGGCUCGUAGGUGGUUGAUCGCGUCGGAAGUGUAAUCUUGGGGCUUAACCCUGAGCGUGCUUUCGAUACGGGUUGACUUGAGGAAGGUAGGGGAGAAUGGAAUUCCUGGUGGAGCGGUGGAAUGCGCAGAUAUCAGGAGGAACACCAGUGGCGAAGGCGGUUCUCUGGGCCUUUCCUGACGCUGAGGAGCGAAAGCGUGGGGAGCGAACAGGCUUAGAUACCCUGGUAGUCCACGCUGUAAACGGUGGGUACUAGGUGUGGGGUCCAUUCCACGGGUUCCGUGCCGUAGCUAACGCUUUAAGUACCCCGCCUGGGGAGUACGGCCGCAAGGCUAAAACUCAAAGGAAUUGACGGGGCCCCGCACAAGCGGCGGAGCAUGCGGAUUAAUUCGAUGCAACGCGUAGAACCUUACCUGGGUUUGACAUGGGUCGGGAGUGCUCAGAGAUGGGUGUGCCUCUUUUGGGGUCGGUUCACAGGUGGUGCAUGGCUGUCGUCAGCUCGUGUCGUGAGAUGUUGGGUUAAGUCCCGCAACGAGCGCAACCCUUGUUCACUGUUGCCAGCACGUUAUGGUGGGGACUCAGUGGAGACCGCCGGGGUCAACUCGGAGGAAGGUGGGGAUGACGUCAAGUCAUCAUGCCCCUUAUGUCCAGGGCUUCACGCAUGCUACAAUGGCUGGUACAGAGAGUGGCGAGCCUGUGAGGGUGAGCGAAUCUCGGAAAGUCGGUCUCAGUUCGGAUUGGGGUCUGCAACUCGACCUCAUGAAGUCGGAGUCGCUAGUAAUCGCAGAUCAGCAACGCUGCGGUGAAUACGUUCCCGGGGCU